rnacentral:rRNA from 1 species
GACGUAGGGAGCGAGCGUUGUCCGGAUUCAUUGGGCGUAAAGGGCGCGUAGGUGGCCUGUUAAGUCGAACGUGAAAUCCCCGGGCUCAACCCGGGAACUGCGUCCGAGACUGGCAGGCUCGAAUCCGGGAGAGGGAUGUGGAAUUCCAGGUGUAGCGGUGAAAUGCGUAGAUAUCUGGAGGAACACCGGUGGCGAAGGCGGCAUCCUGGACCGGUAUUGACGCUGAGGCGCGAAAGCCAGGGGAGCAAACGGG